rnacentral:lncRNA from 1 species
UUUCCCUCCCUCCCUCCCUUUCUUCCUUCCUUUCUUCCUUCCUUCCUUUCUUGAUGGAGUCUCACUCUGUUGCCCAGGCUGGAGUGUAGUGGUGCAAUCUUGGCUCACUGCAACCUCUGCCUUCUGGGUUCAAGCAAUUCUCCUGCCUCAGCCUCCCAAGUAGCUGGGACUACAGGCAUGUGCCACCACGCCCAGCUAAUUUUUUUUGUAUUUUUAGUAGGGAUGGGGUUUUGCCACGCUGGCCAGGCUGGUCUCAAACUCUUGACCUCAGGUGAUCUGCCUGCCUCGGCCUCCCAAAGUGCUGGGAUUACAGGCAUGAGCCACCACGCCUGGUCUAUGGACGUGCUUUCUAACCCUGAAUGUGUAAUGGGGAGUUGUGGCUUCAGAUUUGCAUUUUACCAAGAUGGCUCCAGAAGGCGGCAGGGAGAGCCAGCUGGGUGAACCGCAAGUUCCGAGGCUGUUGCAGUUACUUGGCAAGAGCUGGAGUGUCAAGAGUCAGGGGCUGCUGAGGAGGGGGUGACCUUGGUGCUGAUGGGGUGUGGGGGCUGUUGAGGACCAGAUGGCAACUUCCCUUCCUUGGAGUUUUCUUCCUACCUCAUCUUCUUCACCGCCUCCUCCUUGCUCUUCUCCUACCUCUAAGCUUAGGAGAGGCCCCCGGCUCUGUCCUGGGUCUUCUUCCUUCUCUG